AUGUGCAAUACCAGCAUGUCUGUAUCUACUGAUGUAACCACCUCACAGAUUCCAGCUUCGGAACAGGAGACCCUGGUUAGACCAAAACCAUUGCUUUUGAAGUUGUUAAAGUCUGUUGGUGCAUAAAAAGACACUUAUACAAAGAAAGCGUUAUAUUUCAUCUUGGCCAGUAUAUUAUGACGAAACGAUUAUAUGAUGAAAAGCAACAACACAUUGUAUAUUGUUCAAAUGAUCUUCUAGGAGAUUUGUUUGGAGUGCCAAGCUUCUCUGUGAAAGAGCACAGGAAAAUAUAUACAACGAUCUACAAAAACUUGGUAGUAGUCAAUCAGCAGGAAUUAUCAGACUCAGGUAUAUCUGUGAGUGAGAUCAAAUGUCACCUUGAAGAUGGGAGUGAUCAAAAGGAUCCUGUGCCAGAGCUACAGGAAGAGAAACCUUCCUCUUCAAAUUUGAUUUCUAGACCAUCUACCUCAUUCUAGAAGGAGAGCCAUCAGUGAGACAGAAGAAAAUUCAGACGAAUUGUCUGGAGAAGGACAGAGAAAAUGUCACAGAUCUGAUAGUAUUUCCCUUUCCUUUGAUGAAAGCCUGGCUCUCUGUGUGAUCAGGGAAAUCUGCUGUGAAAGAAGCAGCCCGAGUGAGUCUCCAGGGACACUGUCACACCCGGAUCUUGAUGCUGGUGUAAGUGAACAUUCAGAUGACUGGUUGGAUCAGGAUUCAGUUUCAGAUCGGUUUAGCGUAGAAUUUGAAGUUGAAUCUCUUGAUUCGGAAGAUUACAGUCUUAGUGAAGAAGGACAAGAACUCUCAGAUGAAGAUGAUGAGGUGUAUGGAGUUACUGUGUAUCAAGCAGAGGAGAGUAAUACAGAUUCAUUUGAAUAAGAUCUUGAAAUUUCUUUAGCUGACUAUUGGAAAUGUAC